UGGGGAAUAUUGGACAAUGGGCGAAAGCCUGAUCCAGCCAUGCCGCGUGAGUGAAGAAGGCCUUAGGGUUGUAAAGCUCUUUCGCCGAUGAAGAUAAUGACGGUAGUCGGAGAAGAAGCCCCGGCUAACUUCGUGCCAGCAGCCGCGGUAAUACGAAGGGGGCUAGCGUUGUUCGGAUUUACUGGGCGUAAAGCGCGCGUAGGCGGGUUGUUAAGUCAGGGGUGAAAUGCCGAGGCUCAACCUCGGAACUGCCUUUGAUACUGGCAAUCUGGAGUUCGGGAGAGGUGAGUGGAAUUCCGAGUGUAGAGGUGAAAUUCGUAGAUAUUCGGAGGAACACCAGAAGCGAAGGCGGCUCACUGGCCCGAUACUGACGCUGAGGCGCGAAAGCGUGGGGAGCAAACAGGACUAGAUACCCUGGUAGUCCACGCCGUAAACGAUGAAUGCCAGCCGUUGGGGAGCAUGCUCUUCGGUGGCGCAGCUAACGCAUUAAGCA
rnacentral:rRNA from 1 species